ACUUGGCCCGUGAUUACAGGAGCCGUUUGGCACGUUAACGGCAGCCUGAGAUAUGUUGGGUUACAGUAGCUGCCGGUUGCCUGUUACUGAUAAGGCUUUAAGUUGCACUUGAUUGCAGCUUUUGAACUUUCUAUACAGGUCUGGCUGAGCAGGAUUCACUUGGGGGACUAAAAGUUGUCUGAAGAAAAAUCCUGCAUGACAAGACAGCAGACUUACAGCCUGUUGUGAUCCCCAGCCUAAUUAUGUGCUCAAUGCAGCUCCUACACUUUAUGCUAUGAAAUGCAAGAAAAAAAUGUGAUGGACAGACUAAAGAGACGUAGAAAAGCAAUAACUGGAGUGGAAAACAACUUGUCUGGGAGUAAAAUCAGGCUCAGUCAGGAGGGAAUCCUAUUUCCAGCUGUGCUUUGCAGUACCCAGAGCGCUUCGAGAGUAUGUCUGACUUUUUACACCAAGGAACAAACAGUUUGUAAUUCUCCACAACAGCAACAACUUCAUACAUUUCUUGCAUAGAAUACCUGGAAGCAGAAAUAGGAACGUUACAGUUACAAGGAAGAAGAAAAUCUUGAGAACUACAAUAUGACGUACGAGCAAACAUUAGCAUGGAUUUGGGACAGAAUGAAACAGAGUUUUCACACCUCUUGGUUUAUUCAUAUUUUACCAGAUGAAAUUAUAAGUGUAUUACUCCCUUUCAAGUGGUGCAGCAAUGUUGAAGAAAUUCCUUGAAAAAGUCUGGCUCGUUACAGGUACUUGCAAAGGAGAAGUUCUGGUCAUCAGAACACCACAAGAAGCCAAGUGCCUGAAACAGUGAAAAUGCUUUUAGAUGUGUUUCAUAUCAGCAAAAUAAGUAACAGCACAUUCAAGUGGGACAAACAACCUGUUGUAUAACAUUCCAGAAAAUGUCUGUCAGAUGGAAAAGCAAAGGCUCAUAACAGUACACGAACUGUCAAACAUUUCUUUUCCUUAAGAGAAACUAAAAACAGCCUCGGUCAUGACAAAAGUAACUGGCAGAGUGAAACACAAAGGCCCUCAUUAAACACUUGAACACAUGGCAGCCUGAGUUCAUGGACAAGUCUCAUAUGCACUUAAUUUGCAGAACAGGUUUUCCUAAUGGCAAAAUCAAGGUUUGCAAUACUUAUCCCUUUUGGAAUACCCAAAGUAGAGAAGAUUUCACUUGGAGAUACAAAGUUGAACUCUGGUGCCAUCCUUCUCUUUAAAGGCCAGUUUAAUUUUGAAAGUCCAUUCAGAAGGUGCAUUGUUACCCAGCUUUCCAAAUUUCCUUCAGAAAAUAUAAUCAAAACCUUGGACACAGUGUUUUCAUAAAUAAAGCUUAAUUACCUGUAAAAGGACUAAUAACCUUAA